CCUAUUUUCAAUGUCUGGUUUGAAAAAGAACUCCACUUCAAAUGCUAGCUCUUCUAAUUCUAGAGAAGAGAAAUCAAGUGAAGAAUCUAAGCUUGAAUUCUCAGAAGAUAAGAUGAGAUAACUCUGAUCAACCUGAUGUAUAAGCUUGUCGGAGAGAGAUGGUCGCUAAUUGCUGGAAGGAUUCCUGGAAGAACUGCAGAAGAAAUAAAAGAGUACUGGACUUCAAGAUUACCUGCAAAAGAUUCAGGAACAAAGAAAGAUGAGGGUGAGGGAUGUGAAACCUAAAUUCCAUCUAUGCAUGGAUUCUAGAUGCGUUAAAGCACUUUGAUGUUAAAUAAAGAGUGGUUUUUUAUGCUUUCAAUAUUGAUUCGAUCUUGAAUUAAUUAA